UGAGAAAGAAACUGCUAGUGCCUUUACAAAUGGAUUUCAAGUUGUCUGCUUUCAUCGUAGGUUCCAUAAAUAUGGGACCUCUGCACCAUCUCCUGAAAUGCUAGCGGUGUCACUUCUCAAAGCACGACCCUGUGAUGACAACAGAUUGGCAUACACCACACGGAGGGAAGCAUCAUCAUCGGCCGGUGCGUCUCUUCAAGGUUCUAUUCGAAUUGUGAUCUCAGCGGUCUGACCUUGACAAUAUAUGCUGAGCUUUUCCGGUCGUAUCAGCUCAGACAAAAACUGCAUAUGGCACCAACAGUGCUUUUUUUUCUUACGGGGGCUUAGAGGGGGGCAAGUGAUAGCCCUGGGUUCUCUGAAUGGUGGACUAAUUCGGUAAGAGCCCAAACUGGUUCCAAGGGAACCUUCAGAACGGUUGGAACUGCUCUGUUGCAGUAUGAAACUUAGAAGACCCGGUUUCCUCGAGGGAUGAAAGAUACAUAAUCUCUAAUAAGGUGAAACGGAUCAAUACUUGGAAGACGGUUAACAGAAGGGUUUUGUAGACAGAUCUGCCUGGAAAAAUGGCAUCAUGGAGGUGGCUUCCUGGGGGCAGAGGUCUACCAAGCAGAGUGUAACUGUUGAUCAUAAUGAAUGAAAACUUGCCGACUGGGACAACUGGAACAAACUUAUAAUUCUGAUCACGCCAUCUAUGUGAGAACAGCCUGUUAGAAACUACAGGGACAGCAGGAUUGUGGGCUGUGCGUCCCUGCUGCUGGCCGCAGCUUGGCCCCCCCGCCCAGGACAUCCCCUGUUCCUCCCAGCAGGCUGCCCACAGGUGCUACUGGACUUGGA